rnacentral:rRNA from 1 species
GAUGAACGCUGGCGGCGUGCCUAACACAUGCAAGUCGAACGAAGUUUUAUGAAGUUUUCGGACGGAUUAAAACUUAGUGGCGGACGGGUGAGUAACGCGUGGGUAACCUGCCUCAUACAGGGGGAUAACAGCUGGAAACGGCUGCUAAAACCGCAUAAGCAUACACUGCCGCAUGGCAGAGUGUGAAAAUAUUAAUAGGUAUGAGAUGGGCCCGCGUCUGAUUAGCUAGUUGGUAAGGUAACGGCUUACCAAGGCGACGAUCAGUAGCCGGCUUGAGAGAGUGACCGGCCACAUUGGGACUGAGACACGGCCCAAACUCCUACGGGAGGCAGCAGUGGGGAAUAUUGCACAAUGGGGGAAACCCUGAUGCAGCGACGCCGCGUGAGUGAAGAAGUAUUUCGGUAUGUAAAGCUCUAUCAGCAGGGAAGAUUAUGACGGUACCUGACUAAGAAGCCCCGGCUAACUACGUG